GACGAACGCUGGCGGCGUGCUUAACACAUGCAAGUCGAACGAUGAAGCCGGAGCUUGCUCUGGUGAAUUAGUGGCGAACGGGUGAGUAACACGUGAGUAACCUGCCCUUGACUCUGGGAUAACUGCUAGAAAUGGUAGCUAAUACCGGAUACGACCCUCGGAGGCAUCUCCAGGGGGUGGAAAGAAUUUCGGUCAAGGAUGGACUCGCGGCCUAUCAGCUAGUUGGUGAGGUAACGGCUCACCAAGGCGACGACGGGUAGCCGGCCUGAGAGGGUAACCGGCAACACUGGGACUGAGACACGGCCCAGAAUCCUACGGGAGGCAGCAGUGGGGAAUAUUGCACAAUGGGCGCAAGCCUGAUGCAGCAACGCCGCGUGAGGGAUGACGGCCUUCGGGUUGUAAACCUCUUUUAGUAGGGAAGAAGCGAAAGUGACGGUACCUGCAGAAAAAGCACCGGCUAACUACGUGCCAGCCGCCGCAGUAA
rnacentral:rRNA from 1 species